rnacentral:rRNA from 1 species
GUUAAGCGACUAAGCGUACACGGUGGAUGCCCUGGCAGUCAGAGGCGAUGAAGGGCGUGCUAAUCUGCGAUAAGCGCCGGUAAGGUGAUAUGAACCGUUAUAACCGGCGAUACCCGAAUGGGGAAACCCAGUGUGACUCGUCACACUAUCAUUAACUGAAUCCAUAGGUUAAUGAGGCGAACCGGGGGAACUGAAACAUCUAAGUACCCCGAGGAAAAGAAAUCAACCGAGAUUCCCCCAGUAGCGGCGAGCGAACGGGGAGGAGCCCAGAGCCUGAAUCAGCAUGUGUGUUAGUGGAAGCGUCUGGAAAGGCGCGCGAUACAGGGUGACAGCCCCGUACACAAAAGCGCAUGUGCUGUGAGCUCGAUGAGUAGGGCGGGACACGUGGUAUCCUGUCUGAAUAUGGGGGGACCAUCCUCCAAGGCUAAAUACUCCUGACUGACCGAUAGUGAACCAGUACCGUGAGGGAAAGGCGAAAAGAACCCCGGCGAGGGGAGUGAAAAAGAACCUGAAACCGUGUACGUACAAGCAGUGGGAGC